ACGGAAGGCAGCAGUGGGGAAUAUUGCACAAUGGGGGAAACCCCGAUGCAGCGACGCCGCGUGAAGGAAGAAGUAUCUCGGUAUGUAAACUUCUAUCAGCAGGGAAGAAAAUGACGGUACCUGACUAAGAAGCCCCGGCUAACUACGUGCCAGCAGCCGCGGUAAUACGUAGGGGGCAAGCGUUAUCCGGAUUUACUGGGUGUAAAGGGAGCGUAGACGGAAUUGCAAGUCUGAUGUGAAAGGCAUGGGCUCAACCUGUGGACUGCAUUGGAAACUGUGAUUCUUGAGUGCCGGAGGGGUAAGCGGAAUUCCUGGUGUAGCGGUGAAAUGCGUAGAUAUCAGGAGGAACACCGGUGGCGAAGGCGGCUUACUGGACGGCAACUGACGUUGAGGCUCGAAGGCGUGGGGAGCAAACAGGAUUAGAUACCCUGGUA
rnacentral:rRNA from 1 species